rnacentral:rRNA from 1 species
UACAGAGGGUGCAAGCGUUGUUCGGAAUUAUUGGGCGUAAAGGGCGCGUAGGCGGUGCGGUAAGUCUGCAGUGAAAUCUCUGGGCUCAACUCAGAGUCUGCUGUAGAAACUGCCGUGCUUGAGUGUGGGAGAGGUGAGUGGAAUUCCCGGUGUAGCGGUGAAAUGCGUUGAGAUCGGAAGGAACGCCCGUGGCGAAAGCGAGCUCCUGGACGUUUUCUGACGCUGAGACGCGAAAGCCAGGGGAGCGAACGGG